CUACGGGCCGCAGCAGUGAGGAAUAUUGCACAAUGGGGGGAACCCUGAUGCAGCAACGCCGCGUGGAGGAUGACGCAUUUCGGUGUGUAAACUCCUUUUAUAUGUCAAGAAAAUGACGGUAGCAUAUGAAUAAGCACCGGCUAACUCCGUGCCAGCAGCCGCGGUGAAUACGGAGGGUGCAAGCGUUACUCGGAAUCACUGGGCGUAAAGGACGCGUAGGCGGGUUGGAAAGUCAGGUGUGAAAUCCUACAGCUUAACUGUAGAACUGCACUUGAAACUUCUAAUCUAGAGUAUGGGAGGGGGAGAUGGAAUUAGUGGUGUAGGGGUAAAAUCCGUAGAUAUCACUAGGAAUACCUAAAGCGAAGGCGAUCUCCUGGAACAUUACUGACGCUAAGGCGUGAAAGCGUGGGGAGCAAACAGGAUUAGAUACCCUCGUAGUC
rnacentral:rRNA from 1 species